AGGAAAAGAAACCAACAGGGAUUGCCCUAGUAACGGCGAGUGAAGCGGCAACAGCUCAAAUUUGAAAUCUGGCGCAAGCCCGAGUUGUAAUUUGUAGAGGAUGCUUCUAGGUAGCGACCGGUCUAAGUUCCUUGGAACAGGACGUCAUAGAGGGUGAGAAUCCCGUAUGUGACCGGCCCGCACCUUCUACGUAGCUCCUUCGACGAGUCGAGUUGUUUGGGAAUGCAGCUCUAAAUGGGAGGUAAAUUUCUUCUAAAGCUAAAUACCGGCCAGAGACCGAUAGCGCACAAGUAGAGUGAUCGAAAGAUGAAAAGCACUUUGGAAAGAGAGUUAAAAAGCACGUGAAAUUGUUGAAAGGGAAGCGCUUACAACCAGACUUCUGGGCGGUGUUCCGCCGGUCUUCUGACCGGUCUACUCGCCGUCCCGAGGCCAACAUCAUCUGGGACCGCUGGAUAAGACCUCAGGAAUGUAGCUCCCCUCGGGGAGUGUUAUAGCCUGUGGUGAUGCAGCGCGUCUCGGGUGAGGUCCGCGCUUCGGCAAGGAUGUUGGCGUAAUGGUUGUCAGCGGCCCGUCUUGAAACACGGACCAAGGAGUCUAACAUCUAUGCGAGUGUUCGGGUGUCAAACCCCUACGCGUAAUGAAAGUGAACGGAGGUGGGAAGCGCAAGCUGCACCAUCGACCGAUCCUGAUGUCCUCGGAUGGAUUUGAGUAAGAGCAUAGCUGUUGGGACCCGAAAGAUGGUGAACUAUGCCUGAAUAGGGUGAAGCCAGAGGAAACUCUGGUGGAGGCUCGCAGCGGUUCUGACGUGCAAAUCGAUCGUCAAAUUUGGGUAUAGGGGCGA
rnacentral:rRNA from 1 species